GACGAACGCUGGCGGCGUGCUUAACACAUGCAAGUCAAGGGGGCCCAGCAAUGGGCAACCGGCGAACGGGUGCGUAACACGUGAGCAACCUACCGAACUGUGGGGGAUAGCCGGCCUAACGGCCGAGUAAUACCGCAUACGCUCUCAGGGAGGCAUUUCUUUGAGAGGAAACCUACGGGACAGAUCGAGGGGCUCGCGGCCUAUCAGCUAGUUGGCGAGGUAACGGCUCACCAAGGCAACGACGGGUAGCUGGUCUGAGAGGAUGGCCAGCCACAUUGGGACUGAGAUACGGCCCAGACUCCUACGGGAGGCAGCAGUGGGGAAUCUUGCGCAAUGGCCUAACGGCUGACGCAGCGACGCCGCGUGUGGGAUGAAGCUCUUCGGAGUGUAAACCACUGUUGCCCGGGACGAAUAGCUCGAUUAAUCGAGCCUGACGGUACCGGGUGAGGAAGCACCGGCUAACUCCGU
rnacentral:rRNA from 1 species